UGGGGAAUAUUGCACAAUGGGCGCAAGCCUGAUGCAGCCAUGCCGCGUGUGUGAAGAAGGCCUUCGGGUUGUAAAGCACUUUCAGCGGGGAGGAAGGCGUUAAGGUUAAUAACCUUUACUCAUUGACGUUACCCGCAGAAGAAGCACCGGCUAACUCCGUGCCAGCAGCCGCGGUAAUACGGAGGGUGCAAGCGUUAAUCGGAAUUACUGGGCGUAAAGCGCACGCAGGCGGUCUGUCAAGUCGGAUGUGAAAUCCCCGGGCUCAACCUGGGAACUGCAUUCGAAACUGGCAGGCUAGAGUCUUGUAGAGGGGGGUAGAAUUCCAGGUGUAGCGGUGAAAUGCGUAGAGAUCUGGAGGAAUACCGGUGGCGAAGGCGGCCCCCUGGACAAAGACUGACGCUCAGGUGCGAAAGCGUGGGGAGCAAACAGG
rnacentral:rRNA from 1 species